AGAGUUUGAUCCUGGCUCAGGAUGAACGCUGGCGGCAUGCCUAAUACAUGCAAGUCGAACGAGAGACCUUCGGGUCUCUAGUGGCGAACGGGUGAGUAACACGUAGGGAACCUGCCCGCGCACCGGGAAUACGCUCUGGAAACGGAGAACAAAUCCCGAUGUACAGGAAGGAGGCAUCUUCUUUCUGUGAAACAUCCUUUCGGGGAUGGGGCGCGGAUGGACCUGCGGUGCAUUAGUUGGUUGGCGGGGUAAAGGCCCACCAAGACGAUGAUGCAUAGCCGGCCUGAGAGGGCGGACGGCCACAUUGGGACUGAGACACGGCCCAGACUCCUGCGGGAGGCAGCAGUAGGGAAUUUUCGUCAAUGGGCGCAAGCCUGAACGAGCGAUGCCGCGUGAGUGAAGAAGGCCUUCGGGUCGUAAAGCUCUGUUGCGGGGGAAAAAAGGCAGCAUCAGGAAAUGGGUGCUGACUGAUGGUGCCCCGCCAGAAAGUCACGGCUAACUACGUGCCAGCAGCCGCGGUAAUACGUAGGUGGCGAGCGUUAUCCGGAAUGAUUGGGCGUAAAGGGUGCGCAGGCGGUCCUGCAAGUCUGGAGUGAAACGCAUGAGCUCAACUCAUGCAUGGCUUUGGAAACUGGAGGACUGGAGAGCAGGAGAGGGCGGUGGAACUCCAUGUGUAGCGGUAAAAUGCGUAGAUAUAUGGAAGAACACCAGUGGCGAAGGCGGCCGCCUGGCCUGUUGCUGACGCUGAGGCACGAAAGCGUGGGGAGCAAAUAGGAUUAGAUACCCUAGUAGUCCACGCCGUAAACGAUGAGGACCAAGUGUUGGGGGUGAAACCUCAGUGCUGAAGUUAACGCAGUGAGUCCUCCGCCUGGGGAGUAUGCACGCAAGUGUGAAACUCAAAGGAAUUGACGGGGGCCCGCACAA
rnacentral:rRNA from 1 species